AACGAACGCUGGCGGCAGGCUUAACACAUGCAAGUCGAACGGGCACCUUCGGGUGUCAGUGGCAGACGGGUGAGUAACGCGUGGGAACGUACCCUUCGGUUCGGAAUAACCCAGGGAAACUUGGGCUAACACCGGAUACGUCCGCAAGGAGAAAGAUUUAUCGCCGAAGGAUCGGCCCGCGUCGGAUUAGCUAGUUGGUGGGAAUGGCCCACCAAGGCGACGAUCCGUAGCUGGUCUGAGAGGAUGA
rnacentral:rRNA from 1 species